UAUCAAAAUAAAACGCUCUUUUCCGUAUUUGGUUGUUAGCCAAGGCGAUUUUGCACUGAAUCCCGUGGCUGCGGUUUAUUCAGACGUAAUAAAUGUUGGCUGCAUGUUGAAGAUGUCACCACCAGAUGUGCCGUGUGACCCGAUGAAGGUGAAGCUCCCCAGCCUCUUCCAGACCUGCCGGACUUUCACCAGGACUUGGUGAUGGCACUGAGCUCCAGAAGUUCUGGUUUGGGCUUGUGCAGGGUCACACGCCAUCAACUUCUAGUCGGUCUCUGUUUUGAAAUAAAGUCACUUAAAAAUUCA